rnacentral:misc_RNA from 1 species
UACGGAGGGUGCAAGCGUUGUCCGGAUUUAUUGGGUUUAAAGGGUGCGUAGGCUGAUAAUUAAGUCAGUGGUGAAAGCCGGCAGCUCAACUGUCGAACUGCCAUUGAUACUGGUUAUCUUGAGUAUAGUUGAGGUGUACGGAAUUUACGAUGUAGCGGUGAAAUGCAUAGAUAUCGUAAAGAACACCUAUAGCGAAGGCAGCUUGCUAAACUAUAACUGACGCUGAGGCACGAAAGCAUGGGUAGCGAACAGG